rnacentral:sRNA from 1 species
UCUAAAAAUGCUUCCUGAGGUUUCCUAAUUUCUAAAUCAGGAAGCCACUUCUGACCAGCUACUUUUAAGUAUCUCAGACUGCUGGGGACAAUAGAAACUUAGCCACUCUAACAUGGUAGAUGGAGGCGUGAACUGUAAUAACCCUAAGACGGGUAUACAGAAUUUUUCUCCCCUAGUAGCAGUCACAUUGCAAAAAGAUUAUAUUGCUAUUGAAUUUUAAGGUGUAGAUUAAAUGUCUGUAAUACGUGCAUAAUCUUCCAUUCCUGGGAUCUUAGUCUUGACAUUUUCUUUUUAAGCAUAGAACACCCUUCCUUUACAAAGAAGGUAAUCUGUGGAAGGAAAGACAUGCUAAUAUGAUGGUUUUACAUUAUAAUUCCCUCAGAACGGAAUAUAUCCAUUAAGUACAUGGCAUAUAUGUGGCUAUAGAAACUGCUACAUGUAUUUAAUUUAUUGCCUUAAUUUUUUUUUAUCCCUCUCAGGAUAGACCAUUUAGAGACUAUCCAGCAACUCCUAACCGCAGUAGUAAAGAAGAUUCCAUUAAUCACUGCAAAAAGUAAGACAAUUACACUGAAUAUAGGGGUGCAUUUUUGAAAGCUGUGAACUUAAGGUAUUGAGUCAACUGAAAUCACUUGGGAUUAUAAAUUAAUAUUGAUAUGGCAGUUACCUUAUAAGGUUUCAGCUAGAGAUACAGCUCAUUUGCAAGGGUUUUAGAAUUCACAUCCAGUUAGUUUUUUAUUCUUUUUACUGUGUUGAUCUGUAGAAGGAAUGUUUUACAUUUUUCAUAUGUAAAUCAUAGAUUGUUUUGUAUGCAGUUAAAACUCUGCACUAGCAUUUGGCGUUUAUCAGUGAGGAAAGCAUUUAGCGUUUGCCUGCAGUGUACCAGGUCCUGUGCAGGCUGGGUACGUUCACUGUCUCAUAUAAUCCCAGCCUCCUGCGUGAUAGCUGGUGUCAUCUCCACUUAGAGAUGAGGAGACUGAGGAUAAGCAGGGUUGAAUAACUUGCUCGAGAUCACAGAGCCACGGGUCGUGAAACAGGAUACAAACCUGGUUGUUUGACUCUAAGACCAUUCAUCUUUCCUCUGAAACUCAGUAUUGCACACUAUAAAAAUGCAGUUUUUAAGACUUCCCAAAGUGGCGUGCUGUGUCACUGCCCAUCGUUAGCUAGAUUGAGUAAAUUGCUGCUUAGCCCCAGUUGUUUUGACAGAAUCAAUAGCCCUUGCUGAGGGGCCAGCAGCCUGCGGACACAGGAGCAUGCUCAUGGGCAAGACCACCAUGCACACUCAGAGGGAAGCCACAAGGCAACCUCCACGCCACUCAGAUUUGUAGGGCUCUGAACACAUAACGCCAGGUACAGACCACCUACUUAUUUUUUCCAACUGUAAUAGCAAAGCAGUAAUCUCUUUCUCUAAGGUAAAGUUUGGGGGAUCAUUUUGAUGUAUCUCAGAGUAAACUUUUGGUAACAGUUUCCCAGCCUAACACAAGAAAUUCAAACAAAAAAACUCUCUCAUAUAUAUGUGUGUGUGUGUGCGUGCGUGUAUGUAUAUAUGUGUAUUAUAUACUUGUGUAUAUAUAUAUAUACAUAUAUAUGUAUAUAUAUAUACAUAUAUGUGUAUAUAUAUAUAUACUUGUGUAUAUACACAAGUAUAUAAUACACGUAUAUACAUACACGCACGCACACACACACACAUAUUUUUCUCUCUCCUUAAAAAAUACAGAAUGUAAGAGCUGGAAGGUAGUUCAGAAACCAUCUUCCCAGCUUUCUCAAUUUAUAGAUGAGAAAACUGAGCUGGGCGUGGUGGUUCACGCCUGCAAUCCCAGCACUGGGAGGUUGAGGCGGGCGGAUCACCUGAGGUCAGGACUUUGAGACCAGCCUGGUCAACAUGGUGAAACCCCAUCUCUACUAAAAAUACAAAAAUAGCCAGGCAUGAUGGUGCGUGCCUGUAGUCCCAGCUCCUCCAGAGGCUGAGGCAGGAGAAUCGCUUGAACCUGGGAGGCAGAGGUUGCAGUGAGCUGAGAUCGCGCCACUUUCACUCCAGCCUGGGGGACAAAGUGAGACACCAUCUACCACAGCCACCUUGUGAGUUAAUGGCGGGUCCAGGGCUCCUAGUGGAGCACCAGUUCCACAGACUUUAAUAGCCUGUGGCAGUGAUUACCUUCUCUGCCAAAGAAGCAAAGUUCCCAAGAAGGUGUGUUGCUUUGAGUACACACGACAAGACGCCUUCUCUUCUGAGGAGACACCCUCCUGUGUUAGGCUGCAUCUGAGCUUGCCCAGUAAGGGACAUACAUGCAAUAAAGAGGUCUGAAGAAGUGACUGGCUUGCCUCCAGCAAAUGACGUGUGGUUGGAAUCGUAAGAGCUUUAUUCAGGCUUUGCUGGGUAUGUGCAUUCUAGGUGAAGAUGCCAGCUGCUUUUCUGCAAAGUCUGUGGAGCAGUACUAUGGCUGGAACAUUGGAAAAAGGAGAGCCGCUGAGGUAACCCACGUCUGCCUGUUUGACACACAGGCAGAAACGCCUGUCCAUUCUGGCUGCCUCCAGAAACCUUGUCUUAUGGAACAGGGAUACAGAUUGCAGCAUAUUUUGUUGAAAUAUUUGAUGGCAGAAUAUUUUCCUCAGUUAAAAAAAAAUCUCAUUUUUCAAAGACCUAUACCAGCUGACUUUCAGGCCUGCCUUCUUUUCCUGCACUGGUAGAAACAUGCCUCACAGUUUCUAAAUUUUUUUCCGAGUUUCAGAGUUGUGAAUGAACUCGAGUAUCGAGUCCUUAGAGUGGGAACGUGCUGUGGCCGGUUUAGGGGAAGUUGGGGUAGGAGGGAAAGUGGGAGAUUGCAGGUGGAAACCAGGUGAAGAUCCUUAAAGGCCAAACCUAGGAGUUGCUGUUUUAUUGUAUAAGCAUUAGGGAGCCGGUAGAAGUUCUACUCUUUUUUAAGUGGGAAGUAACACAACCAGGUUUUUUUUCUUUAAAAAAAAAUUCUAACAGUUUAAGUUAGGAUGGUGAUUUAUGGUUGCAUGAUAUGUAGUUAAGUGCAAGGAUUUGAUUAUGGUUCCAAAAGAAAAUUUUUUUUUUUAAGUGGCAAAGAGCAAUGACAAUGCGAAAAGUCUUACAAGAAAUCCUGGAGAAGAAUCCGAGAUUUCACCACCUGACUCCCCUCAAAACCAAGCACAUUGCUCACUGGUGCCGCUGUCAUGGCUAUACCCCACCGGACCCUGAGAGCCUGAGGAAUGACGGGGACUCCAUUGAGGACGUGCUGACCCAGAUCGACAGCGAGCCCGAGUGCCCAUCAUCAUUCUCCUCUGCUGACAACCUCUGCCGCAAACUGGAGGACCUGCAACAGUUCCAGAAAAGGGAACCCGAGAAUGAGGAGGAGGUGGACGUCCUCAGCCUCUCCGAGCCAGUGAAGAUAAACAUCAAGAAGGAGCAGGAAGAGAAACAAGAGGAAGUCAAGUUCUACCUGCCACCAACCCCAGGGUCUGAAUUUAUUGGGGAUGUCACACAGAAGAUUGGGAUCGCCCUGCAGCCCGUGGCGCUCCACAGGAACGUGUAUGCGUCCGUGGUGGAGGACAUGAUCCUGAAGGCUACAGAACAGCUGGUGAAUGAUAUCCUGAGACAGGCUUUGGCAGUUGGAUACCAGACAGCUUCUCACAACAGGAUUCCCAAAGAAAUUACAGUGAGUAAUAUUCACCAGGCCAUUUGCAACAUUCCUUUUCUGGACUUUCUCACAAACAAACACAUGGGAAUAUUGAAUGAAGACCAGUGAGCGGAGUGAGGUGCCCUGGAGAAGCAGGCUUUGAAGGCGCAGCGAAGCUGUAACUGAGGACCCUGCUUGCUCGGGAAGGAGGUGGUUUCCAGUGCGACUUGGGAUGUCAUGGCUACCCAACCUUUGCCGCUGCCUGUUCCCGCGUGUCACCAGCACGCUCCACUCCAGAUGAAAUCCUCCUAGGACAGGAGUUUGUUUCCUGAGUGUGGAGUGAGGCUGUCAGUGGAUCCGUGCUUUGUCGACCAACGUUUCUGCAAACGUUGUAAAGGCCCCACGGGAGCGGGCCAGGCCGUGUGCCUCAGGCCCUUCUCCUCGGGUGUGCUCAAGGGGGCUCCUUGAGCCUGCCUCCCCAGGAGGUAGAAAAUGAGUGGCAGGCUAGAGAUUUCACCCAUUUUGUGGACUGGAGUUACCAGUAGCUCCAGCAGUUACCCUGAAGAGAGAGAUUGGGCUUCAGCCUUCAGCAAGUGGUUCUCUCCCCUGCCUGGCGUUGGUGUGGAGGGGCUGUACUCUGAGCCCAAGUGAGUCAGCUAUAGGAAGAGGCCAUACCUAGAACAAAGAACCAUGAAGGCCUGAGAGACGGCAGACUGAGCAGAAUUCCUUUUUUGAGCACAGGAGCAUUACUAGAACCAUUGUCAAAGCAGUGGCAAGGGACGGAGAGGUCCCAACGGGAGUCAGGAAGAGGUUUGAUUAUAACCAAGAAAACUCACUAUGCUAGGAAUAGACAGUGUGCACCAGUCCCAGACACUUGGCAGAAGUGUAGCAGCAUUACAUGUGUGUGCGAAGCAGAUCGCAGGCUCCACGCCAUCAGCAUGGUCUGCAGGAGCUUCUGUUGCUGACCCCAUGCUGAGUGGCCAGUGGGGAGCAGCGCCCGGCAGGCUCUUCUGGGGUCGUCUGUCCUAUCCAUGGAUUGUGUAUCCUCUUCUCUCUUAAGGAGUUUUUCCCAAGAAGAAAAGUAUUUAAAAGAAAUACCAGUGAGUGCCUUAAAGUUGGAGAAGUAACUGCCCAUGCCCAGAAAUAAGGAUGCCAGUGCCCAGAAGCAGUGAGAUUAGGCUGUGUCCACAAGCAGAGGCCCCCUCGAUGGGAGGGAGUGGCAGGCAGGAGAAGGUGGCGCUGCCAGGUGCCCGGGUCCAUUGGAGGCGCCCCAUCUCAGACUUCCUAACACAGCCUGUGUGGAAGGCAGAACAAAGAAUGCAUGCCCGGUCAGAAAUCUCUUCUAUUCUGCUCCAGGAAAAUCGGAAACCUGUGAGUCAGAGUCAGAGAAACUUACCCAAGCAACAUAAUUCCUGUUUUCCUGGGUCCUGUAGAUGUUUGAGUCAGGAAGGUAAGGCGAGGAGUGACUGAAUAAACUCUGCCUUUUAAAUUGAGCAUCUGGGCCGGGCAUUGUGGCUCACACCUGUAAUCCCAGCACUCUGGGAGGUCGAGGUGGGUGGGUCACCUAAGGUCGGGAGUUCGAGACCAGCCCGACCAACAUGGUGAAACCCCGUCUCUACUAAAAAUACAGAAAAUCAGCCGGGCAUGGUAGUGUGUGCCUGUAAUUCCAGCUACUUGGGAGGCUGAGGCAGGAGAAACACUUGAACCCAGGAGGCAGAGGCUGCAGUGAGCCCAGAUCAUAACACUGCACUCCAGCCCUGGUGACAGAGGAGACCCUGUCUCAAAAAUUGAUUAAUUCAGCAUCUGAGGGCUGCAAGUGCAGAAGGAAUCUAUUCUCAGCAGGGCAUAGGGCACGCACUGGCUUAACAGUUUAGUAUAUAAGGCUCGAAUAGUCUAUACGUGAACUGCUGUGAGCAAGAUUGAUAGGGAAGUGGAUAGAUUGCUUCAGCAAAGUGAACUGUGAGAUCUCCAGGACAGAGGGAGAAAGAUCUGAUCCAAAUGAGAACAGAUUCGUUAUUGCAGGUAUGACAGCCUAAAGAAAUUAUCUUUUUGCAAAAGAAAUAUUAAAUGAUUUAGCAGUCUCCACGUGUGUUAAUGUUUCAAACGUGUAUCAUAAUGUGUAUAAUUGUGUAACAAAAUUGUCUACAAUAAAUCUUUUGGUAUUUGU